UACGGAGGGUGCAAGCGUUGUCCGGAUUUAUUGGGUUUAAAGGGUGCGUAGGCGGCCCGUUAAGUCAGUGGUGAAAGGCUUCAGCUCAACUGAAGCAUUGCCAUUGAUACUGACGGGCUUGAGUACAGAUGAGGUAGGCGGAAUUUAUGGUGUAGCGGUGAAAUGCUUAGAUACCAUAAAGAACACCGAUUGCGUAGGCAGCUUACUGGGCUGUUACUGACGCUGAGGCACGAAAGCGUGGGGAGCAAACAGG
rnacentral:rRNA from 1 species